UCUAUUUUGGCAGAUAAGUGCAAUGAAUUUAGAAUUCAUGUAUGUAAAUAAUAUUUACAAAUAGAA
rnacentral:tRNA from 1 species